GAGAAUUAGGGUUACAACAGAAUAGAGAGUCAGAAUACAGAAUACGUAGAAACUGCUUUUGGGAGAAAAAGGGAGAAAGUGAGAAGUUAGAUAAGAGAAGAGGAGAAAACUUGUAAAGUCCAAAUUCAAUCUAAGGUAAGGGUGGGACUAACCUUCUUUAAUCAUAAGUAUAUAGUUCUGAAAAAGGGUUUAAGCUUGUAGUUGUUAAUAGUUUUGAUGUUAUAGAAAUUAGGUUUUGAUUUGGAAUUGAUUGUUAAAAAAGUAGAUAAUUCAAUAAAUUAGUGUACAAAUUCAUGUUUUGGUCCAAGUUUUAUAUGGUUUUGAGUGCCUUUUCAUGUUUAGAAAUGUUUAGACGAGUUUCGGGAUCAAAUUUGGGCAUAGGGAAGUUAAAAAUGGGAUUUUUUGGUGAAAAAUGUCAAGUUCCCGAGAGAUAUCAGAUUGAGCUCGCCAUGGCGGAUGACCUAUUCGCCUGGCGAAAUGUUCAGUGACAGACUGCCUUGUUUCACGUUCUUGCGUCUGUUUCACACGUUUCUGUUUUGAGUUGGUCUUCGGUGUAAACAUGAAAGUUGUUGAUAAUUGUGUUAUCUUUCCAGUAUUCUUGAUUUGAUGUGAAUAUCUUUGUUGGAUGAUUUAAUAUUUAUUAUAUGUAUAUGUUGAUGAAUUUGAUGUUAUAUGAUGUUGUUCAUGAUUGAUGAAUUAUUAUAUGAAUGUAUAAGUUGAUGAAUAUGAUGUCAUUCAAGAUUGAUGAACUAUUAUAUGAAUGUAUAUGUUGAUGAAUAUGAUUUUAUAUGAUGUUGUUCAUGAUUGGUGAAUUAUUAUAUGAAUGUAUAUGUUGAUGAAUAUGAUGUUAUAUGAUGUUGUUCAUGAUUGCUAAAUUAUGAAGUCAUAAUGCGAAGUCGUUGUUGUUGUUGUUGUUGUUGCAUUGGUAGUGUCAAUGCAUAAUCAUUUUAAACGAAGAGGGCUUGAUGCUCUGUUAAUUUUAAGCGAAGAGGGCUUGAUGCUCUGUUAUUUAAUCGAAGGGAACUUGAUGCUCUGUUGUAGGGAGCUUGAUGCUCUGAUGGUACGACAUGCAUAUUAGCAUCUCUUGAGUUGUUAUUGUUGCAUUGUUGAGUUGUUGUUGUUGCAUUGCGGAGUUGUUGUUGUUGUUGUCACAUUGUUGUUGUUGUUAUUAUUGCAUUGUUAAAAUGAAGAUAAUUGAUGAAUUGUUGAUUGGAAUUAUGUGAAGCAUUGUUGAUGAUGAUUUGCUGUUGUUUUGUGUUGAUAAAUUCUUUUACAUUAUUGUUUAUUAGUGUUGUUAAUGAUGAAUUGAGGUUGUUAUGUGUUGUUAAAUUCUUUUAUAGAAUUAUAUGCUUAUUAUUAUUGAAUUUGAAAUUUCACUCAUUCUGUUUGAAUGUUGCCUCUACGUGGGUAAUGUGCAGAUAACCAGGAGUAAUCGCUGAUGUGAGUUGAUUCUCGUGUCGUCCUAGGAGUCGCUCUGAUACGUACGGGAUGGGGAUUAGCUUUAUUUAUUUUCCAUUAUUAUGUAUUCUUUUUAUGAAUUUAUUGUUGAACAUUUUUUAGAUGAAAUUAAUUAUAUUGAUGAUGUUGAUGUUAGUUUGUUUUUAAUUCAAGUUUAGUUUUAGUGAUAAUCACAAUCAGUGGUUAAUCACAGUUUGUUUUAGUUUGUUAUGAAGUUUGUUACAAGUUUGUUAGAGGUUAGCAGAUAAGAUC
rnacentral:lncRNA from 1 species